rnacentral:rRNA from 1 species
AGCUCCAAUAGCAUAUAUUAAAGUUGUUGCAGUUAAAAAGCUCGUAGUUGGAUUUCUGGUGUGAGGGAACGGUCCGACCUCUGGUGGGUACUUGCUUCCUCUCACACCAUCCUUGAGUGGUGCAUUCUGGCAUUCAGUUGUCGGGACGUUAGCCGCUCAUCGUUUACUGUGAGAAAAUUAGAGUGUUCAAAGCAGGCGUAUGCCAUUGAAUAUAUUAGCAUGGAAUAAUAAGAUAGGACUUCGGUACUAUUUUGUUGGUUUGCGCACCGAUGUAAUGAUCAAUAGGGACAGUUGGGGGUAUUCGUAUUCAGUUGUCAGAGGUGAAAUUCUUAGAUUUACGGAAGACGAACUACUGCAAAAGCAUUUACCAAGGAUGUUUUCA